rnacentral:RNase_P_RNA from 1 species
AGAUGCGGCUAGGCAAACUCCUCGCGGUGCAAGACCAAAUAGGAGAGCGUUUUGAGAGUGGUCCGCUCGAAUCCCGGCCUUAGGUCGGGAGACGCUUUCGGGUAGGUCGCUUGAGCGAUUCGGUAACGAAUCGCCUAGAUGAAUGAUUGCCACCGUCUUCUCAGCAAGGCGGUACAGAAUUCGGCUUACAGACUUGCCUCUUUU